UAAGACAGAGGCCUCGAGCGUUAGGCGGAAUCACUGGGCUUAAAGCGCGUGUAGGCGGAUCGUUAAGUGCCUUGUGAAAUCCCGCGGCUCAACCGCGGAACCGCUGGGCAUACUGGCGGUCUUGAGCCACCUAGGGGCAACUGGAACAAGCGGUGGAGCGGUGAAAUGCGUAGAUAUCGCUUGGAACGCCAACGGUGAAAACAGGUUGCUGGGGGUGUGCUGACGCUGAGACACGAAAGCCAGGGGAGCGAACGGGAUUAGAUACCCCGGUAGUCCUGGCCCUAAACGAUGUCGACUAGAUCGUAGUGCCUCUGACGGUAUUACGGUCGAAGCAAAAGUGCUAAGUCGACCGCCUGGGAAGUACGGUCGCAAGGCUA
rnacentral:rRNA from 1 species